UACGUAGGGAGCAAGCGUUGUCCGGAAUCAUUGGGCGUAAAGGGCGCGUAGGCGGCCUUCUAAGUCGAACGUGAAAUCCCCGGGCUCAACCCGGGAACUGCGUCCGAGACUGGAAGGCUCGAAUCCGGGAGAGGGAUGUGGAAUUCCAGGUGUAGCGGUGAAAUGCGUAGAUAUCUGGAGGAACAUCGGUGGCGAAGGCGGCAUCCUGGACCGGUAUUGACGCUGAGGCGCGAAAGCCAGGGGAGCAAACGGG
rnacentral:rRNA from 1 species